UCUCCCAGAGUCUUCAUGGGCACAGUCACGUACCUGGUCAUGGUCAAGCAACGGGCGUCUAUGACUCCCAUGCCCUAUGUUUCCUACACCAGAGCCAUCGACGUGUGGUACCUGGGCUGCCUGGUGUUCGUGGUGCUGGCCAUGUUGGAGUAUCCUGUUGUACAUGUCAUGGAACGAACCAAGGGGAAG